ensembl:lncRNA
AUCUCUUGCUGGAGAUCUCUGUGUACCUGAGGCCUUUCUAAGGUAUUGUUGUAUAUGCCAUCUCACGUUUUCAUAGAAACAGAGGAUUGUUUGGUUUGGAAGGGACCUUACAUAUCAUCCAGCUGCAACUCUCCUGCCAUGGGUAGGACACCUUCCAUUUGACCAGGCUGCCCAAAGACCCAUCCAGAAUGCCUCAUCCACCCUGCUAAUGAAUGCUUCCAGAGAGGGGGCACCCACAGCUUUUUCCAGUAAUCUGUUCUGUACCUCACCAACCUCCAGCUGAAGAACUUCUUUAUGUGUUAUCUGCAUCUACCGUCUUCUAGUUUAAAACCUUUACCCCUUGUACUAUCAAUACAUGCUCUAGUGGAAAGUCUUUCUCCAUCUUCCUUAAAAGGGGCUUAUUGCAGCUUUUCAGUAGUUAUAAGGUCUCCCUGGAGCCUUCUCUUCUCCAUGUUAAUUCCCAGCUCUCUCUAGCUUUCUUUCUAGAGAGGGUGCUCAUAUAUUUUGUUUCUAGUAUGUCCUUUUGUACUUCUACGACAGGCUAUGAUGCAAUAAAGAAAAGUAUAACUAGAACAUAGAAGAUAAAGCUAAAAGCACCUCCACUCAUUUAAAAAUCCGUUAGUCUAGUUUUGGCUCCUAAUUAAUUCUGUUAUCCAAGAACCCUUCCCCCUGGAUUUGAUUCUAGCCUCCCCCUCCCCUCCCCCCACUGCUUAAAUGGUUAGCAAAAUUUCAACAUCUUAAGCUCAAAUAAACCUUCCAAAGACAAAUGCCACCUGAAAAUCCUACACACAGACAGAAGCAAGUAGAUAACAAAGAUUAUACAGAGUUUCUUUUUGGAUAGAGACCAAAUGCUUUAUUAAAGACAAAUGAGGAUCAAAAAACCUAUGCUUUCUUAGCAGGGAAAGAUAGAGUUGCAAAAGCAAAGGGUAUGCAAACAUAGAAUUCAGCUUAGAGCUGAAGGGUGCUAUGAAAUCAGAAGAAAAAUAAAUGUUAUUUUAGUGUCAGAAAAUCAGGAGGAGGAAAUUGGAGGCUGGGCUGUAGAACAAUGUCAGUCCAGGUGUUAGGUAUUUGCAUUUAAAAUGUACAUCAUCAAAGCAGAAAGAAAACUCUGACUCUCCCAGACUUGGAGCUAGUAGCUAAUAGGAAUGCAGUUACUGUAAUGACUGGACUACAUCAAAACCUACUUAGCAAGUGCUAAUUCAAAGCACUCUGAGCUCUCAACUAAAAAGCCCUGGCCAGCAAAGACUGAUGUUGGACUAAUAUAAAGACUUCAGCUGUCUGAGAAUCUUUGUGUUAUCAAAUAGUUCAAUAUCAAUCAAAAUGAAUCUAAAGCUUAUUGCUGGAACUUCAGUUAUCUUCAGAGCUUGCAGAUUAUACAUAUGUAAUUAUCUCUAUUAUAUAUAUUUUCUUAAAGUGUUGCUUGAGGAAGGAAACUUAUCUUCUGGGGUUAUAUUCUAUACAGAUUGUGAGGAAUCACUUGGAUCCAAGGCAGAAGUUAGAGAUUGUUGUGCGGUUUUGUUUUAGUUUGUUUGUUUAAGAAAGAAAUGAGGUAAAACUAAAUAUCCCAAUUUUUGUUCGUUCGUAUAAUAAUUCAGACUCGUCAAGGAAAUUAUGAUGUUUGUCAUGUACAGGCCAGGUAUGACAAAGCAGUAGCAGUAUGUUUUGGGUUGUGUUUUUUGUUCUGUUUUUGUUUUCCCUCUGAAGCCCAAUGCAAUGAGAAGCACAAGAAAUACCACUAUUAUGAUUCCUACUUGAAUUCCUCCCCAGCAGUAAGUAGACUACAAAGGUAUUUAGUUUUUCAACUAAAUAGCUUUUGUAAUGCUUCUUAAGGUUUAACAUAACCAUAUUCCCUUACAAUGAAACAGACAGAUUUCUGUAGGGGCGUUCUUUGGAAUAAAUACUUAGCAUCAGGCCUUUAAGAAGCAGGAUACAUUAAUGGAUUAGAAUAAAAUAGCAUAAGCAUAUUCCCUUUGGAAAGAUCUUUGUAAAUGCUAACUGUGUUAAUUUUUUUCAAAUGUUUCAGAUCAGUAGAGGAGGAAACAAUUUAAUUUAUUAUCAUUUGUUCUUUGUUUCUAUUUCCCAUACUUCAGUUAAUAAAUUAA